GUUUGGGUUCACAUUUUUGGGAAAUUGGAAUGGACAUAUCAGAGUAGAGAACCAAAGAAAAGAAAUAGAAGAGUAUGAACUUCUCCACACCUUAAAUUUUGAUUCUGUCCGCCGACGUAUGAGUGUAAUUGUAAGGACCCAAGGAGGAGAUAUACUACUUUUCUGUAAAGGAGCAGAUUCAUCCAUUUUUCCCAGGGUGCAUAGCCAUGAAAUUGAUUUAACCAAGGUCCAUGUGGAGCGUAAUGCAAUGGAUGGGUAUCGGACUCUUUGUGUAGCCUUCAAAGAAAUUCCCCCAGAUGAUUUUGAAAGAAUCAAUGUACAACUGAUAGAGGCUAAAAUGGCC
rnacentral:lncRNA from 1 species